GAGUUUGAUCCUGGCUCAGGACGAACGCUGGCGGCGUGCUUAACACAUGCAAGUCGAACGAUGAUGCCCAGCUUGCCGGGCGGAUUAGUGGCGAACGGGUGAGUAAUACGUGAGUAACCUGCCCUUGACUCUGGGAUAAGCCUGGGAAACUGGGUCUAAUACUGGAUACUACCUCUUACCGCAUGGUGGGUGGUGGAAAGGGUUUUACUGGUUUUGGAUGGGCUCACGGCCUAUCAGCUUGUUGGUGGGGUAAUGGCUCACCAAGGCGACGACGGGUAGCCGGCCUGAGAGGGUGACCGGCCACACUGGGACUGAGACACGGCCCAGACUCCUACGGGAGGCAGCAGUGGGGAAUAUUGCACAAUGGGCGGAAGCCUGAUGCAGCGACGCCGCGUGAGGGAUGACGGCCUUCGGGUUGUAAACCUCUUUCAGUAGGGAAGAAGCGAGAGUGACGGUACCUGCAGAAGAAGCGCCGGCUAACUACGUGCCAGCAGCCGCGGUAAUACGUAGGGCGCAAGCGUUGUCCGGAAUUAUUGGGCGUAAAGAGCUCGUAGGCGGUUUGUCGCGUCUGCUGUGAAAGCCCGGGGCUCAACCCCGGGUCUGCAGUGGGUACGGGCAGACUAGAGUGCAGUAGGGGAGACUGGAAUUCCUGGUGUAGCGGUGAAAUGCGCAGAUAUCAGGAGGAACACCGAUGGCGAAGGCAGUUCUCUGGGCUGUUACUGACGCUGAGGAGCGAAAGCAUGGGGAGCGAACAGGAUUAGAUACCCUGGUAGUCCAUGCCGUANACGUUGGGCACUAGGUGUGGGGGACAUUCCACGUUUUCCGCGCCGUAGCUAACGCAUUAAGUGCCCCGCCUGGGGAGUACGGCCGCAAGGCUAAAACUCAAAGGAAUUGACGGGGGCCCGCACAAGCGGCGGAGCAUGCGGAUUAAUUCGAUGCAACGCGAAGAACCUUACCAAGGCUUGACAUUCACCGGACCGCCCCAGAGAUGGGGUUUCCCUUCGGGGCUGGUGGACAGGUGGUGCAUGGUUGUCGUCAGCUCGUGUCGUGAGAUGUUGGGUUAAGUCCCGCAACGAGCGCAACCCUCGUUCUAUGUUGCCAGCACGUGAUGGUGGGGACUCAUAGGAGACUGCCGGGGUCAACUCGGAGGAAGGUGGGGAUGACGUCAAAUCAUCAUGCCCCUUAUGUCUUGGGCUUCACGCAUGCUACAAUGGCCGGUACAAAGGGUUGCGAUACUGUGAGGUGGAGCUAAUCCCAAAAAGCCGGUCUCGGUUCGGAUUGAGGUCUGCAACUCGACCUCAUGAAGUCGGAGUCGCUAGUAAUCGCAGAUCAGCAACGCUGCGGUGAAUACGUUCCCGGGCCUUGUACACACCGCCCGUC
rnacentral:rRNA from 1 species